CUUCCUGCCAUGGUGUUCUGCCUUGCCAGAGGCCCAGAUCUAUGGGAACUUACAAGCAUGGAAUGAAAUCUCCGCAGCUAAGGAUUUCAAGACUGGCCAUUUAAUAGACUCUCACUGACAACUGAUGGAGAGAUGGGUGAUUCAGGAUGGGAACUCCCUGGGAAAGGAAAAUGUUCUGCUGUGGGGAUGGAUGGAAAAAUGAGGAAGGAAAACGCUGGCACAGAAAUGGAGGCCAAAUAAGUCAAAGACCCAAGAUGUCUCCGUGGUGAAGGAGAACAAUGGCUUCAUGGCUUCGUGGAGGUCAUCCAGGUUCCAUCCAGGGAAAGGACAGCCAUCCUCUUUAAGAAAGGGGCUUUAAGUGCAUACAACUGUCUCUCCAUGUGAUCCCUCCACUGGGUUCUGAUGCAGUAGGAGUCUGCUUCCAGAUGCUGAGCAGGUGCAGGUGCCAUGCUCUUGGACUUCCCAGCUUCCAGAACCAAACAGAUGUUGGACAUUAUCCAUAACUUUUGCAAAUUUGUCUUAACUGAUUUUGCACAUCUGUUCCUUCAUAUAAACUUUGGAUUUUUCUUAUAAAGUCCAUCAUGAAAAAAAUACAAACGAAUUUCUUUUAGUUAGAUGAUGUUAUAAACUUGCAUGAUCCACCCACCUGCGU